GGGAGAAUAGCAAAGUGGUUAAAUGCGGCGGACUGUAAAUCCGUUCUCGAUUGAGUUCGUAGGUUCGAAUCCUACUUCUCCCA
rnacentral:tRNA from 1 species